rnacentral:rRNA from 1 species
UGCAGAAUCCCGUGAACCAUCGAGUCUUUGAACGCAAGUUGCGCCCGAAGCCUUUAGGCCGAGGGCACGCCUGCCUGGGCGUUA